GACGAACGCUGGCGGCGUGCUUAAUACAUGCAAGUCGAACGGAAAGGCCCUGCUUUUGUGGGGUGCUCGUGUGGCGAACGGGUGAGUAACACGCGUGUAUCCUGUCCUUGUCUUUGGGAUAACUUCAGGAAACUGGGGCUAAUACCGGAUAGGAGCUCCUGCUGCAUGGUGGGGGUUGGAAAGUUUCGGCGGUUGGGGAUGGACUCGCGGGUUAUCAGCCUGUUGGUGGGGUUGUGGCUUACAAAGGCUUUGACGGGUAGCCGGCCUGAGAGGGAGACCGGCUACAGUGGCACAGAGGAGCGGCCCAGACGCCAACGGGAGGAAGGAGUGGAGAAUAGUGCACAAAGGGCGGAGGCCGGAAGCAGGAACGCCGCGUGCGGGAUGACGGCCUUCGGGUAGGAAACCGCUUGCGCCUGAGACGAAGCGUGAGGGACGGUAAUGGGUAAAGAAGCACGGGCUAAUUACGG
rnacentral:rRNA from 1 species